UACGGGGGGAGCAAGCGUUGUUCGGAUUUACUGGGCGUAAAGGGCGCGUAGGCGGUCAGCACAAGUCAGUUGUGAAAUCUCCGGGCUUAACUCGGAAAGGUCAACUGAUACUGUGCGACUAGAGUGCAGAAGGGGCAACUGGAAUUCCUGGUGUAGCGGUGAAAUGCGCAGAUAUCAGGAGGAACACCGAUGGCGAAGGCAGGUCUCUGGGCCAUAACUGACGCUGAGAAGCGAAAGCAUGGGGAGCGAACAGG
rnacentral:rRNA from 1 species